rnacentral:rRNA from 1 species
ACUCAAAUGAAUAGACGGGGGCCCGCACAAGCGGUGGAGCAUGUGGUUUAAUUCGAUGCAACGCGAAGAACCUUACCUACUCUUGACAUCCUGCGAACCUGGCUGAAAGGCUGGGGUGCCGAAAGGAACGUAGAGACAGGUGCUGCAUGGCUGUCGUCAGCUCGUGUUGUGAGAUGUUGGGUUAAGUCCCGUAACGAGCGCAACCCUUGCCCUUAGUUACCAUCAAGUGAAGUUGGGGACGCUAAGGGGACUGCCGGUGAAGAACCGGAGGAAGGCGGGGACGACGUCAAGUCAUCAUGGCCUUUAUGAGUAGGGCUACACACGUGCUACAAUGGGGCGUACAGAGGGAAGCAAGACCGAGAGGUGGAGCGGAUCCGAGAAAGCGCCUCGUAGUCCGGAUUGGAGUCUGCAACUCGACUCCAUGAAGUUGGAAUCGCUAGUAAUCGCGAAUCAGCCACGUCGCGGUGAAUACGUUCCCGGGCCUUGUACACACCGCCCGU